AUAAUAAGAAAUGGCCAAACUGUCCCCCCCCCCCCCAAUAUUUGAAAUUCUUGCACUGAUCUGAUGCACUCCAUGCAGUGCUCUGGUUUUAGGAAGACAAAACAUUUAUAAAGUUACAUUUUCGGCCUGGCCUGCUCAGGAUAACAGUGCUCAUCAAUGUCAAAAUGUGACCCUGGACCAGAAAACCAGUCAUAAGGGUCACAAGUAACUGAGAAGGCCUAUCAGAUCAAAGCAGGUGGGCUUUACUGUUCACAGAAGCAGAGCACAAAUUCAGCACAAUUUAAUGUUGAAAGAGAGCGAGGUCCCCGGAGACGCUCACGCUGGGCCGCUGUCCGUGAUGCAUUAAUCAUGUCCGAAUCCUCAAGACAAAGAGCCACGCGUUUCUCGUCUGCAUGUGAAAUGAUGCGACGCGGGCCUGCCACGAGGUUAAACUCUCAAACGUGCUCUUUGAUGGGCUUUAAUGAGAUGUCAGCGCCCAGACGGAUUUCUCUGCUGUCCCGUAAAACAGGCCACGGAGCACGAAGCCGCAUCUCUGUGAUCUGCUCAAAAACACACCUAGAUGUGUCGCAACACUUUCACACAAUCACCGCGUCAGGAGUGUGACGUCUGUCAAGCAGGAUUUAAGUUGAGUUUAUGCAAAGAGGCACCCCAGACAGCAAGCAGUUUCGGUCCAGAUCCGGCCCACAUCCGGCCCCCCAUGGAUUUCACACAGGCCAGAUGUGGGCCGGAUCUGGGCCAACACUAUGUUGUUAUCUGAGACUAAACUGAAAGCCCUUUCAGAUCAGAACCGUGAGUCAAACCUGCUUCAUACUCAUCAACUUCU
ensembl:lncRNA